rnacentral:rRNA from 1 species
AACGAACGCUGGCGGCAUGCCUAACACAUGCAAGUCGAACGAGACCUUCGGGUCUAGUGGCGCACGGGUGCGUAACGCGUGGGAAUCUACCCUUGGGUUCGGAAUAACAGUUAGAAAUGACUGCUAAUACCGGAUGAUGACGUAAGUCCAAAGAUUUAUCGCCCAAGGAUGAGCCCGCGUAAGAUUAGCUUGUUGGUGGGGUAAUGGCCUACCAAGGCGACGAUCUUUAGCUGGUCUGAGAGGAUGAUCAGCCACACUGGGACUGAGACACGGCCCAGACUCCUACGGGAGGCAGCAGUGGGGAAUAUUGGACAAUGGGCGAAAGCCUGAUCCAGCAAUGCCGCGUGAGUGAUGAAGGCCUUAGGGUUGUAAAGCUCUUUUACCCGGGAAGAUAAUGACUGUACCGGGAGAAUAAGCCCCGGCUAACUCCGUGCCAGCCGCCGCCGUAA